UGUUACAAAAGAAUUUUGAUGUGCAUCAAAUUUAGAACUCUCAGCCUGGCUAUGUUCUGGACCCUGCCAAUAGGGGGUUAUGCAUUGGCAAUUCUGGCCCCACCACAGGGUAUAAGUGUGAUAUUCUGGCCCACUCCGCAGGAUAUAAGUGCGGUAUUCUGGCCCACUCCGCAGGGUAUAAGUGCGGUUCUAUUUCUGGCCUAGCCACAGGGUAUAAGUGUGGUCGUAGCUAAAGG
rnacentral:lncRNA from 1 species